CCUUCCGAAGUUUGCAAAUUUUGUAUGCUUUUGUGUUGCAAUUUUCGCAUGCAACACAAAAGUAUACAAAAUUUGCAAACUUUGCAA